rnacentral:rRNA from 1 species
UUUACUGGAGGGAGGUGGGGAUGACGUCAAAUCAUCAUGCCCCUUAUGACCUGGGCUACACACGUGCUACAAUGGACAGAACAAAGGGCAGCGAAACCGCGAGGUUAAGCCAAUCCCACAAAUCUGUUCUCAGUUCGGAUCGCAGUCUGCAACUCGACUGCGUGAAGCUGGAAUCGCUAGUAAUCGCGGAUCAGCAUGCCGCGGUGAAUACGUUCCCGGGCCUUGUACACACCGCCCGUCACACCACGAGAGUUUGUAACACCCGAAGUCGGUGAGGUAACCUUUUAGGAGCCAGCCGCCGAAGGUGGGACAGAUGAUUGGGGUGAAGUCGAACAAGUUC